rfam:Actinobacterium SCGC AAA027-L06 A27L6_contig00001, whole genome shotgun sequence.
GGGGGUGAACGGUCUCGACUUUAGUCGUUACUUCAAGGCAAGCGGGCCGAGGAAGCCGUGAUGAUCUCGUUAACCACAAAAACAUGGCAAACUAUAAGCGCAAGUAAAACUGCCGCUGAUUAUCAACUAGCUGCCUAAGCUAGCUCUGUUAUCCGUUACCCGAAGUUUGUUCUCGCCUUCGGAUCUAACGUCGCUAGAGGACUUACCCCUAACCGUGUUACGGAGGUUAAUGGGGACAUAAAUCUGUAACUGAGUCCGCAAACUACUUGUGCAUGUGAGAGUUUGGACUGAGAAAGCGUUAAUUGCACUACGCCCGUAGAAACUUUGAACUAGUGCUAGAGGACCCGGGUUCGAUUCCCGGCACCUCCACUU